UCUUCCUCAGUUUCAUUCCAUCCCACGUCACCGGUAAUAACCACUUCAAUAGCUUCUCUAUUCAUUUACAAAAUACUACCGUAAGAGGAGAAGUUCCAAUCGGUCACUACCACCACCAAGCCAAUCAUCUCCACCUCUCAAUCUACCGUCCCUGUCGCUCAAUCAACCAGCUAUCAUUUGGUAACUGGAUCAUGUUAAUUGGGCGUAUUUUCAACACAUACGGACCUUGGAUGUGUCUAGAUGAUGGCCAUAUAGUUAGCAACUUUGUUUCUCAGGUCAUCCGUAAACAACCAAUGGCAAUUAUGGUGAUGGAUAACAAAAUUGAAGCUUUCAAUACAUCCCCGACUUGGUAAUGGCUAAUGGACUGGUGGUAUUGGUGAAAGGUGAUCUGGCGGGUUUUUCAGUUUAGGCAAUCCUGGAUAGUUUACCAUGUUAGAGUUUGCUCAGGUUUGUCUUUCAAUAACUUUUAAUUGAAUUUACUAGAGUUGGCAUAUUCGACCACUUGUUUUCUAAAUAAUGGGUCAAUUUGGGUUAUUCAUAAAUCAUAACCUCGAACAAGUCAGAAAGGAUGGGUUAAAUGGGCUAAACGUAUUGAAAGUCACUUCAAACCAUCUUCCCCUAGCUGUUGAAGACAAGGUACAUCUGAACUUUUAAUGAUGGCUGCAGAUGCCGAACCUCUUGAAAUUCUUCUCCAUCUUCUCUUACUUGCUGAAGAUAAGGUAUACUCUUACCUGGGUGGGUCAGGCUGGUUGGGUAACGGGAAUAGUUUCAGGUCCAAAGCGGGUCGGGUUGUGUUGGAAGAGCAAAUUACCAAGAAAGUUAAAUUAGUUUACGAAAUUAUAUAUUUGUAUGUUCCCAUUAAAAUUAACUCUUUUUAUGGGUUUAUCUUGACCAUUCAAAGUGCUUAACUUUUAAUCCUGACUUUUUAGAAUCAAAAUUUUCUUCAAAGUUAACUCUUUUUGUGGGUUUAUCUUGACCAUUCAAAGUGCUUAACUUUUAAUCCUGACUUUUUAAAAUCAAAAUUUUCUUCUAGAAGCUGCAGUUUUGAUGGAGGUUUCGCGGACUCUCCUGCAAUCACGCAGUUAGCGACGGUUUCUAUUCUCCCAUCCCCUCAUUCUCCUUUUCUUCGUCUUGGCAUUCUCAAAUUUUCUUCUUUAAUGGUAUUCGAUCCUUUCUUCUCUCUCAUGUAGUAUCGGGUCUCUGUUCAGGUAUGUUUCAAUUUUGGUUGAAUAAAAGGUUUUUUUUUUCAUCAAUUAAUACUUUUUGCUUGCGUAUUUAUCAUUGUUAUGGGAUUUUCCCUAAAUUAAGGAGUUUUUAUUGAUCAUUUUUUUUGUGUUGAUUUGCAUAUGUAUGGUUUUAUUUUUGAGUUAUGUGAUAUCAGUUGCCAUUAAUGAUGUCUCUGAGGCCUAGGGCAUGGACUGAUGUCCGCCAGAACCGUUACAAUAUGGUUGCCCUUCAUAAUCAUCGACAAUUAUUUAAAACUUGAAAGGGUUACCGUUGGAAGGAUCUGAAUAAAAGUCAAUUUUUGGGCAUUAUUGUGAGAUGCCGGUAGGAUAUGUGAAGUUACCGCUAGGAAUUGCUGGACCGUUGUUGUUGAACAGUUAUGAGUAUAUGGUGCCUAUGACGACUACCGAUAAGUGUUUGGUUGCGAGUGCGAAUAGAGGUUGUAUGUAACAUCCUGCAUUUUGAUACUCAUUUUAUCUUAGCAAGUCUUAAUCAUACUUCCUAUCCUGUGAUACUUGUACACUCGAGAUGAUUGAUCAUAAUGGAAAUGAGACUUUUUUAAUCUUAA